rnacentral:snoRNA from 1 species
AGCCGAUCGAUGAUGCGCUGCGCCAGCGUUUGCAAACGUUCGCGAUCGGUCUGAGGCGCCAGCACCAAAAAUUCGUCGCCGCCGAGGCGGGCGAGCACCUGAUCCGGGCU